rnacentral:rRNA from 1 species
UACGGGGGGGGUAAGCGUUGUUCGGAAUUACUGGGCGUAAAGGGCUCGUAGGCGGCCAACUAAGUCAUACGUGAAAUCCCUCAGCUUAACUGGGGAACUGCGUGUGAUACUGGAUGGCUUGGAUUUGGGAGAGGGAUGCGGAAUUCCAGGUGUAGCGGUGAAAUGCGUAGAUAUCGGUGGGAACGCCAGUGGCGAAAGCGGCAGACUGGACCCUUCCUGACGCUGAUGCGCGAAAGCUAGGGGAGCAAACGGG